rnacentral:lncRNA from 1 species
GAGGAGGCACAUGGCUGUCUGCAGUCCUCAUCCUGCUCCACACUAAAGGGGGCAGUGACUGACGGCUUCUGACCAUUACGUCUGUCUGUCCAGUGGACAAAAGGCUCAAAUGAGGAGAGGAGGUUGGAGGCCAACAGCAAACCAGAAUCAGCUCCUGCUGAAUGUUUAUAAGGAGAAGGAGACGAGGGAACCAGGAGAUGAGCAACGGUAAAUUCAACUACAAUGUUCUUCAAGUAUUUCUCUGAUGUAUUACUCACUCUGUAUUGUAAUGCUCAAUCAAUCAAUCAGUCUCACAUAAGGAACCACAGCUGCACAAUAACGUUCAGUAAGAAUGACAUGUCGUAGCUUAUUCGUAGUCUGUACUUUACUUCAUGUGCUCCUGAAGCCAAUGCUUUGAUCUUGGUUGCGACAGGUGCAGCUGUGGAGGCUGGAGAACUGUGACAACAGAGACCAUGGGACCACCUGGAGAGAAGUUGUCACCUGUGUCUAUGGAGGCUCAAUGCAAUAACAUCCUGCAGCUCUUCGCUCCCUCCAGCCUCUGGUCCAGACAGAGGGAGAGCCUCCCAGUCCUAACCACAUAGAGGAAGUGUCUUUAUCACGGCUUUCUCUGUGCUGCUGGGUUUGGGAGACUCUUCACAUAACCAGUGGUGUUGGCCUCCAUCUGUAAGCAGAAGACGGUCAAGACAAGUGGUUGUCAUAAAUAAUUUUAAACCAAUUGAAAUAAAUAGUUUUCAUGUUAACUUUUGUGUGUAUAC